CAGUAGCCACGGGAAUACGUAGGGUGCAAGCGUUAAUCGGAAUUACUGGGCGUAAAGCGUGCGCAGGCGGUUUGUUAAGACAGAUGUGAAAUCCCCGGGCUUAACCUGGGAACUGCAUUUGUGACUGGCAAGCUAGAGUAUGGCAGAGGGGGGUGGAAUUCCGCGUGUAGCAGUGAAAUGCGUAGAUAUGCGGAGGAACACCGAUGGCGAAGGCAGCCCCCGGCCAAUACUGACGCUCAUGCACGAAAGCGUGGGGAGCAAACAGGAUUAGAUACCCCAGUAGUCCCUGUCUCUUAUACAC
rnacentral:rRNA from 1 species